rnacentral:lncRNA from 1 species
UUACAUCAUUGAACAAAACGAAAUUUUGAAAAAGUUUUUUGCAACAGAUAGUUUGUGUAAAAAUAAACACAAAACUGGAAACGGAAAAAAUGAACAAGCUAGGAAAGAUUUGGGAUUUAAAAGCAAAAAAAAUGAACCUGUUUAUGCAAAAUUCGUGGGGAAAGAUCAAAAAAGUGUUAAUAUUGAAAAAAAUAAAGUGAACAACAGUAACUUUAAUAAUGGUACUAUUGGUAGUAGUAUUGGUAUUGGUAGUAGUGGUAGCAGUAUCCCAAAUUUGUAUGCACAUAAUAAAAAUGGAUUAACAGGUGUUACGGAAAAAGAAAAAGGAAUGGCAAAUAAUUAUUUGCAGUCUGCAAAAAAAAAAAGUUAUAAUAACGGAGACGAUAUGAAUGGCGAUAAAAACGAAGAAGGUGAACAAUCGAGUGGAGGUAUAGCAUUAGAAAAUAUUUUAAAAAUAGGAAAAAGUAUUGACAAUUUUCGUAAACAAAUUAUAAUACUACAAAAUACAAACAAAGAAUAUCAUAAUGUAAAAAAAAAAUUAGAACAAUUUAGUAGCAUAAUUGAUCUGAAUGCAAAUAAAAGUAUUGAUGGGGAAGAGAGUAGUAAAAACGGGGAAAAACAGGGACUGACAGGAAAUGCACCAACAGAACAGGCGCAUAUGGAACCAGAACAAGCGCAUAUGGAACCAGAACAGGCGCAUAUGGAACCAGAACAAGCGCAUAUGGAACCAGAACAAACACACAUACCAACAGAACAAACACAAACACACAUACCAACAAAACAAACACAGAAACAAAAAACAAAAAAAGUCCAAUUUACAGACUUGGGAAUAUUUGACAAUUUUUUAAACGUUUAUCUAAAAUAUAACGGUAUAAAUUACCCUACAGAUUAUCAGAAAAAAUAUAUACCAAUGUUAAUAUUUUUUUUAAAUAAUACAAUUUUUGAUCUAUACAACUGUGUGCAAAAUACAAAACAUGAUUUGACUAAUUGUAAUAAAACAGAUGAUUCAAAAUAUAUUUCACGCGGUAUGGAUACGAAGGGGCUAGCAAUAACACAUCUAAGUGAGUUAAAAUGUAGUUACAACACAAACAAUGUUAAUAAUAAAAACAAAAUGAAACAAAUUAUAUAUGUUAACAAAUACAACGAAACAAGUAAAGAAUUAAUAAGAACUUUUUUUUUACACUGUCCUACAG